rnacentral:rRNA from 1 species
AUUGAACGCUGGCGGCAUGCUUUACACAUGCAAGUCGGACGAGUGGCGAACGGGUGAGUAACAUAUCGGAACGUACCGAGUAAUGGGGGAUAACUAAUCGAAAGAUUAGCUAAUACCGCAUAUUAUUCGAGCGGCCGAUAUCUGAUUAGCUGGUUGGUGGGGUAAAGGCCUACCAAGGCGACGAUCAGUAGCGGGUCUGAGAGGAUGAUCCGCCCCACUGGGAAGGAGACGCGGCCCAGAUUCAGAAGGGAGGCCGCAGUGGGGAAUUGUGGAGAAUGGGCGCAAGCCUGAUGCAGCCAUGCCGCGUGUCUGACGAAGUCCUUCGGGUUGUAAAGGACUUUUGUCAGUGAAGCGGUACCUGAAGAAUAAGCACCGGCUAACUACGUGCCAGCAGCCGCGGUAAUAC